rnacentral:rRNA from 1 species
GUGCCAGCCGCCGCGGUAAGACGUAGGGGGCAAGCGUUGUCCGGAAUUACUGGGCGUAAAGGGCACGCAGGCGGUGCGCCAAGUCGAGGGUGUAAAGUUACGGCUCAACCGUGACAUUGCAAUCGAUACUGGCGCGCUGGAGUGCGGGAGAGGGAAGUGGAAUUCCCGGUGUAGCGGUGAAAUGCGUAGAUAUCGGGAGGAACGCCAGUGGCGAAGGCGGCUUCCUGGCCCGCGACUGACGCUCAUGUGCGAAAGCCAGGGGAGCGAACCGGAUUAGAUACCCGGGUAGUCCUGGCCGUAAACGAUGGGUGCUAGGUGUAGGCGCGUCAAGCGUCUGUGCCGAAGUUAACGCGAUAAGCACCUCGCCUGGGGAGUACGGUCGCAAGGCUGAA